rnacentral:rRNA from 1 species
GACGUAGGGCGCGAGCGUUGUCCGGAUUUAUUGGGCGUAAAGAGCUCGUAGGCGGUUUGUCGCGUCUGCCGUGAAAGUCCGGGGCUCAACUCCGGAUCUGCGGUGGGUACGGGCAGACUAGAGUGAUGUAGGGGAGACUGGAAUUCCUGGUGUAGCGGUGAAAUGCGCAGAUAUCAGGAGGAACACCGAUGGCGAAGGCAGGUCUCUGGGCAUUAACUGACGCUGAGGAGCGAAAGCAUGGGGAGCGAACAGGA